AUGUUAGUGCAACCUAUCAAUGUUAUGUGUUGGAAUGUCCGGGGCCUCAACUGUCCGGAUAGACGAGCUACUGUCAGCGCCACCAUUGCUUCUUCUUCUUGCCAUAUUGUGUGUCUACAGGAGACAAAGCUUCACAAUGUCGACAUCUUCACAGCCUCCUUCUUAGGAGGGAACGGACUGCGCAAUUUUGCGCAAAGGCCGGCGAACGGCACUCGUGGAGGCAUUUUGCUGCUCUGGGACGAUCACCUUGUGGAAAUGUCUAACAUCGCAGCUACCACCUUCUGCCUGUCCGCCAUGGUCCGUAUUCGUGACUCCAAGGUGCAAUACAAGCUCACCACCGUGUACGGCCCCGCGGACUCUUCUCGCAAAGAUGCCUUCUUCGCCGAGCUUAUCAGCCAAAAACCGCCCAACGGUAUGCCAUGGCUUGUGGCUGGGGAUUUCAACCAAAUUUAUCGUGCAAGAGACAAAAACAAAAUACAUGUCAACCGAAGUAGAAUUAAUCGGUUCCGAGUGACACUGCAAAGUUGUGAGCUUAAAGAGAUUCACUUGCAAAAUAGGAGGUUCAUUUGGAGCAACGAGAGGGAAAAUCCGACUAUGUGCAAACUGGACUCGUUUUUCUGCAAUGCCGAGUGGGACACCACUUUUAGCACUCAUCUGCUUCACGCCCUCUCGUCCUUGCUAUCCGAUCACUGCCCGCUUCUCCUCGCCGAUGACAAGCGGCCUCGGAGGCCUAGAACCUUCAAGUUUGGAAUUUUUUGGAUUGCUAUGCCCAACUUUAUGGAGGUGGUCAAAAAGGCUUGGAUCGAGCCGCUAGAGCAUGUUGAGCCAUAUCAAGUCCUGUUCCAUAAACUCAAGAAGGUGGCUCUCCGCCUUUCCGAAUGGAGUAGGGGCCUUUUCUCCAAGGCAAAGGUUCACCUACAUGCCGCCCUAUUGGUGAUCCUACGCCUCGACAUUGCUCAAGAGACCCGUCAUCUCUCCCCCGAGGAGAGUGACCUUAGGGCGAGGCUUAAAAGGAGGGUCAUUAGCUUGGCCGUGCUUGAGAGAGCUCGGAAAAAACAAAGUGCGAGAGUUGCUAACCUCAAGGAGGGUGAUGGCAACACCAAGUUCUUCCAUCGCCGGAUUAAUGCUAGAAGGAGGAAAAAUCACAUUCAUAGGCUAAAGCAUGACCAAGGGUGGAUCACCGAGCAUGACGCUAAGGAGAAGCUCAUUCUGGACCACUUUUCUAAAGUGAUGAAAAAAGGGAACACAUGCAAUAAGGAUCUAAAUUGGGAGGAGCUCAACUGA
rnacentral:rRNA from 1 species